rnacentral:misc_RNA from 1 species
GCGCCUUAGUGUAAGUGGACAUUCUGGACAAGCACCACUACCCAAGAUAUGAUCGUGACGUUUGAUUGCUUUAGUAAUCUCAAAAAAAUCUAAUCCCUUAUCAAUGGCAUAUUGGCAUUAUCGGAUAUAUUGAACAGACGAACAGAAAUACAGAAUACUGUACUUUUUCAUAACUAAGAGGAAACGUUCAACACUGCUUACUUGAAAAGUGCACGAGGCGGCGAAAUCAAAUCCAAAGAUGGCGGUUUAUUUUAUUGGCGUCGAUGUUGGAACGGCGAGUGUACGGGCUGGUAUUUUUGAUCAAACUGGCCGAUUAAUUAAAAGUUCGGCUCACGAAUUAAAAAUCUGGAGUCCUAAAGGGCCAAGUGGAAACUAUUAUGAACAAUCGUCCGACAAUAUUUGGGAGUCCUGCUGUAAAGUUAUUAAGGAAGUUGUGGAAAACGUGAAUCCAGAAGCUGUAGCUGGGAUUGGAUUUGAUGCCACUUGUUCUUUAGUUGCUUUAGACAGUGAAGAUAAACCAAUAACUGUUAGCCCAACAGGAGAAAAUCAGCAAAAUGUUAUCAUGUGGAUGGAUCACAGAGCGUCUCAAGAGGCGGAUGUCAUUAAUGCCCUAAACCACUCUGCCUUCCAGUAUGUUGGAGGAAAAGUUUCUCUUGAGAUGCAGCUUCCAAAACUUCUGUGGCUUAAAAGAAAUCUCUCAGAAAGUUGGUACCAAACCAAAAAAUUUAUGGACUUGCCAGACUUCCUGACGUGGAAAGCUACCAACAGUGAAUCCAGGUCUUUAUGUAGUGUUGUUUGCAAGUGGAACUAUAUUAUUGAUGAGGCAGGGUAUCAUGGUUGGCCGGGUGACUUAUUUGAACUUGUAGGUUUAAAAGAUCUUUUAGAUGAAAAUGCAAGUCCAAUUGGAAGCAACAUAAAAUUUCCAGGCACACCUCAGGGUUCAGGCUUGUCAUUAGCUGUUGCACAAGAACUUGGAUUGAAACCUGGCACUCCAGUAGCUACCUCUCUUAUUGAUGCUUAUGCGGGGGCCUUGGCACUGUUUGCUUGUCACGCAGAUGUCCCACUGGAACAGAGAUUGGCCCUCAUUUGCGGUACUUCAACAUGCCACAUGCUGAGCGUUUCCCAGCCGACGUUUAUCGACGGAGUAUGGGGUCCGUAUGCUGACGUCUUAUUGCCCGGCAUGUGGUUGCUGGAAGGCGGACAGAGCGCUACAGGAAAACUGUUGGACCAUAUCGUCGAGACCCAUCCUUCUUAUCCGUCGUUAAAGGAACGAUUACCUCCAAACACUUCGAUUCCUGAAGAACUAUCUCGAAUUCUUCGUGUUAUGUCACUCCCCACUGGACGUCCCCUGUCGAAUUUGACAAAAGAUAUCCAUGUAUGGCCGGAUUUUCAUGGAAAUCGCUCUCCAUUAGCCGAUCCCAAUAUGAAAGGCAUGGUUUGUGGUAUGACGUUGGACGUGUCAGAGGAGAACUUGGCAUUGCUUUAUUUGGCUACCAUCCAGGCUCUAUGUUAUGGAACUCGUCAUAUUAUUGACUGCUUAGGUCGAAGCGAUUUGGAGAUUGGAAGCUUGAUGCUUUGCGGUGGAUUGACCAAAAUUGAAUUGUUCGCAGUGACUAUGGCAGAUGCUGUUGGUCUACCAGUCGUUCUUCCUCAUAAGAAAGAAACUGUUUUACUCGGAUCAGCAAUGUUAGCAGCUAGCGCUUCGACGCACUUUGCCUCGCUUAAUGAAGCCAUGGCCAAUAUGGGUGGUCAUGGGAGAACAAUCCAUCCCAAUCAACAAGAUAAAAAGUUUCACGAUCGAAAGUAUCAAGUGUUUAUGAAAAUGCUGCAGGACCAAAAGGAAUAUAAAAGCAUUAUGGACAACUAAACAGUCGACCAGUUGUUUUUGUAUCCCAUCAACAGGAUAUUCGGUUUCACUUUGCCAACGCCCGCCAGGCCCAGCAUCGCAGCGACUCCGGUAUAAAGAUUCGAAUUAUCUGCCACAGCACAAAAUCCUUUGAUGUUUGUGAAGCGCAGAUAUCGAGGAUAGUGAAUUUUAGCCAAUCGAAAUAGGUGUUUUCAAAAUUUGAUUACCUCGACGAUAUUGCCGCAAAUCAUCAGCGAAUUGUUCUUACAAAUAAGGUAGGCGAAAUCGACCAAAGCAGGACGAGUGUUGGGAAGGCCAGUGAGAACCAAAAUUUGUGGCCGGUAGUUCUUGACGUGUUCUUCAAUGUGCACCAGUUGUUGAAUGCUGGUCAACGCUGCUCGAACAACCAUGUAGAAAAAGAGAACAAUGGCAAUUGUUAUCACUGCAAUUGGAAGACUGAUGAGGAUCAUGGAGACGAUUGACAGAAUUCCAGUCAGCAAACUCAGCCAUGUGUUGUAAUACUGGAUGAUACAGGUUUGACUAAACUAACGUGGAAUGUUGAAAAGUUCAUCAAAGCAAACGUGGCAAGAAAGAAAUCCGAAAUCAGCAAGGCGAUCAUAUCCAGCUCGGCUAAUGUGGACAAAAGCUAAGGCCAAAACAAAAGUGAAACCAAAUGCUCGAUAUGGCUGAUUUGAUGUUCCGGAUCUUUUCCCCCAAAAGCCGACCAUCCAAUAAGGAUAUAGUUUAUCAGCUGCAAUGACUUCGAGUAGAGCUGGACAAGAAACGAAAUCGGACAGGGCUGAACUGAUUGUAGCCGCGAUGCAACCCACAUAAUUAAGCGGGGCAAAGGCAGACACCAAGGACAUUGCCUGUUUUUGGAACGGUUCAAUUUCCCUGAUUUUUUAAAACAUUGUUUCUUACCUUCAAGUCACCGGAAACAUUGGCUCCAGCAAGAAUACCGAUACUUGCCGGGAAAUAAACGGAGAAGACGGAAAUGAAGUUUUGGAUUUGGCCACUAGUGACGCUAUAAGCUGGCUCCCAGUUUUCAUAUUUGACAUUUAAAGGUACAAUACCGCUGUAUCCUACGAAUCCUCUUGCUUCUUCCAACUCGGAAGAUGGUCCCAUAAUGCUGCCAGCUAAGAAAUUAGCCAACGAAGCCAACAUAAUGAUGAACAUGAUGUCUUUCAUCUAUUUGUUUCAUACUGGGAUCCGAGACCACAAAUGGCACAAACGAAUAUCAUAGUAAUUGUGCCUAUGACACGGAUGUCGUUGGAGGCACCAUCGAAAAGAAUUACUCCGCCGUAUUCCAUCAUCAUGUCCUGUACAGCUUGGGCGAAACCAACAACGUUGAGCGAGCAAUCCAUGGCGUUAGCGAUGGCGAAGAUGAUUCCGAUCGAACCACCAAACUCUGGACCCAACACUCUCGACCUAAUCUCACCCCAAAAAUUGCCCUGCGGCCCACAAGAACAAAAUGUGACCCUAGUCACGUGAUUCUCGUUGACCUAAGCAGAAGGCAAGGUCACUGAUAAGACCACCCCCCUAUGGCUGAAGCGGUGCUAUCAGUGCAGCACCGGUUCUAGCGCCGUACCGCACCGGAAAAAAAUCCCCGCACAGAACGUCCCUGAUUCAUUUUUAUUGGGGAGUUUGCGGUGUCCCCGAUUACAAUGUGAUCGGGGCCGAGCCCUAGUUUGUUUUCUUUUCUUUUUCAUCUUGUUCGAUAUCAAAGCCAAUUGGCAACAUUGCCGACUGAAAAUAAGGGUAGGAAGUCUAGGAACUUGGGCAUGGAGCACAUGGGGCGGCUAAGAUAAUAUGUUUGUCAUCUUGAAUGGCGGUGCGGAUUUUGAUGAUACGUCAUCAGGUUUCUCCAUCAUGUGGACCACACAUUUCUUCUUUUCCAGGAGUCACACUAUCGAGCGCUAGAUGGCGUCGUCGUCCCUCUCCUGAUUGGCCCUAAUCGGCACGUGAUCAGAAAGGAUUCUGAUUGGCUUUGGUAGCAAAUCCUCUCGCCUUCAUAGGGAAGAUUGAAGUUUACUGGCCUUAACCAUUUAUGCCACGUUUGGACGAAAAAAGGGCCAAGCAUUUGGGCGCUUUCGACAACGUAGAAUCCGUUGGAUGGAGUUUGAGUUUUACAUUUACUUUCCAGAAACCAAGUUUGAAUGCUUUAACGUUGAGCAAUUGGUAUUUGAUUCUCCCACGUUAGGUUGUAUUCAAAUUUAUUUCAGCCUUUUCCUCAGGUCAUAUUUUCUGGUUACAAAAUUGUGUUUCUGUGGCAAAUUUGUGAACGAAUUGCGUUAGAUAACCGUUCGCGAGGUCUUUCCACUUGCUUUCCAGGUAGGACCUUGCAGCCAACCUGGUACAUGCCACAGACUUACCAUCUUUUGUUAUUGUUUCCUGUCUGUUAUCUGAUGGUGUGAUGAUUCCGAUUUUGAGGGGACAAAGCUAAUUGUGUUGCUGCAUUAUUUAGCCUCCUAGUGCAAUGCAUUGGAAUUGCAGCAAGUGUUCUGCUAUUUUUUUCUAAUUGGUUUUAAGCAACACCAUAUUGUCCAGUGUCCUUAAUCGGGUUCUGGCUAAUAGGUUUUGGUACAACAAGUCAUGGUUUUGGUAUCACAUAAUCCUUUUAUUAUACUUAUGUGGUAAUCCCAGUAUAGUGAGAAUUAAGUUGUAUAUUUUUGUCUUUUCCAUUGACUAGUAGCAAUUUUGGGAUCAACUUUAUUCUUUUACUGUUUGCAUAGUUCUUUGACAAGUCCAAGGAUUCCUACUCUUCAAAGAUUCUUUUUAACAGCUUAAACAAAGCUGAAAUAACAGACAAAUUAUUAUUUGCUUACGUGGAUCAGUUAUGGUCAGUAUUCCUUUCCAUUGUUGGAUUCACGUUUACUGUGCACUUCACUACCUUGUUUUAUUGUUCGGGCUCGCUUAUUCCGCAAUAACAGUUGAAAUGAUGAUUGAAACGGAGAUCUCUAAGCAGCAACUCCUGGUCUCGUAUGAAUUAAAAGGUAUAUAUUUUAAGAAAAAAAAAUGGCCAUGUGAUGUUUAAACCCAUUGUAAACUUUCGUUCGGCUUACGGUUGAAAAUGAGCAAAUUUCAAUUCAAAAUACGCUGGAUACAUGGUUUCGGUAAUCUGUUAAAACCAUGGUGAAAAAAAAAAUGAUUUUGUCACAAGACGAAUUUCUUCUACUACCUUGUUUUCAGGAGGUUCUUCAAAUUGCCUAGCUAUUCCAAUUUAUUGGAACCAAGUUGUCACAAAUAGGUCUCGGCUCCGCAUUGAUCGGGUCGAUUUUUUCCCGUUUCAAAUUCAGCUUGACGUAUCUUCAUAGCUUGGCCCAUACUUCUUUUGGUUCAUAAAUUCCUUAACUGGAAAGAUUCGGAUCCGGAUCCUACUAAGUUAUUUGGGCUGUACUUCAAUGUUCAGUAGGUCACUAUCCUUCUCCUAAACUUCAAGACCAAAUGGAUCAAAAAGGAAACAAUUAUUUCCUGCUUCUCUGGAUGUUCUAUUUCCUUCGCAUUGCUCUCACUGUUUGUUAGACAAAUUACGAUGGUAAAAUAAACCAAACGCUCAGAUAAAGAACUUUGGCUGGUGACUACACACUGGUACAAUUGGAAAUUUUGCCAUUCAUUCUUGGGUUUUCUGUUACGAAUCUUCAUCGAUAUCGCACAAGAUAGUGAAACAACCACGUCCCUUUCAAGGCGGGCAAUUGCUACGUGUGACGAAAGGAACUGUGGACAUGAUCCUCAUAAUAACUCACAUUUUGAACGAACAUCACAUUUCCAACGAGGGUCAUGGCUGAAACCAGAAGCAUCGACUAAAAGAUUUAAUUAGAAGGGAUUAUCUACGCCCCCCCCCCUCUCCUAAACUACACGGAA